CCUACGGGAGGCAGCAGUGGGGAAUAUUGGGCAAUGGAGGAAACUCUGACCCAGCGACGCCGCGUGCGGGAUGAAGGCCUUCGGGUUGUAAACCGCUUUCAGCAGGGAAGAAGCGAAAGUGACGGUACCUGCAGAAGAAGCACCGGCUAACUAUGUGCCAGCAGCCGCGGUAAUACAUAGGGUGCAAGCGUUGUCCGGAAUUAUUGGGCGUAAAGAGCUCGUAGGUGGUUCGUCACGUCGGAUGUGAAAAUCUGGGGCUUAACCCCAGACCUGCAUUCGAUACGGGCGAGCUUGAGUAUGGUAGGGGAGUCUGGAAUUCCUGGUGUAGCGGUGGAAUGCGCAGAUAUCAGGAGGAACACCAAUGGCGAAGGCAGGACUCUGGGCCAUUACUGACACUGAGGAGCGAAAGCGUGGGGAGCGAACAGGAUUAGAUACCCUGGUAGUCCACGCCGUAAACGGUGGGCACUAGUUGUGGGGACCUUCCACGGUCUCUGCGACGCNGCUACGCAUAGUGCCCGCCGUCGGGAGGUACGAGUCGCGAAGAAUUAAACUACAAUAGAAGUUAGUACGGCGUGAGACGUCGCCGACGGACGACCGACGAGGGAGGAGG
rnacentral:rRNA from 1 species